GGAACCCUCGGUAUGGACCCGGCCCCUGCGGGCCCCUUCNNNNNNNNNNNNNNNNNNNNUGAGGGGUGAGGAACUCCGCUGUGUACCUCCGGGCAGCGCCUCGACCCGCUCUCCGUCCCUAGGGCAGGCCACGGAAGUUUCUCGUCAUAACCAAAGAGCUAAUAUCUUGGAGCGAGGAUGUGAAAACAAAUGACUUGUAACCCAGCAAAACUUUUGCCAUACAAAUUGAAUUCCAGAUAGCAAAUUAGGAUGUCACUGUCAUCUCUGUAAGCAAACUACUGACAAUUUCACCCAGGCAGAGGGAGAAAAGCAGCAGUGAGUUGAGGUAAGAAGUGUCUUAUCUAAUGUCUGUUAGCCCAUAUUGCCAGAACAGAAUACGUAUUUUUUGAUUUCCCAGUUUUUUGGUAGUGUUCCCCUUUGAAACAGGGGGAUACUUCUUUAGCCAAAUGCAAGAUUUCAGCAGUGCAGAAGGACAGUCUGGUCCUGGUCAGAAGCAGAGAUGGGUUACUGGGGUUUGAAUGGCA
rnacentral:lncRNA from 14 species